rnacentral:rRNA from 1 species
AGCAGCCGCGGUAAUUCCAGCUCCAAUAGCGUAUAUUAAAGUUGUUGCAGUUAAAAAAGCUCGUAGUUGAAUUUCGGGGUCAGUAGAUCGGUCGCGCCACUGGUAUGAACUGGUUUUACUGAUUCCUCCCUCUUGAAGAACUGUAAUGCCAUUAAUUUGGUGUUGCAGAGAAUCGGGACUGUUACUUUGAAAAAAAUUAGAGUGUUUAAAGCAGGCUUUAGCUUGAAUACAUUAGCAUGGAAUAAUGAAAUAGGACGUUUGAUCCUAUUUUGUUGGUUUCUAAGAUUGACGUAAUGAUUAAUAGGGAUAGUUGGGGGCAUUAGUAUUCAAUUGUCAGAGGUGAAAAUUCUUGGAUUUAUUGAAGACUAAACUACUGCGAAAGCAUUUGCCAAGGAUGUUUUCAUUAAUCAAGAACGAAAGUUAGGGGAUCGAAGACGAUCAGAUACCGUC